rnacentral:rRNA from 1 species
UACGGAGGAGGCAAGCGUUAUCCGGAAUUAUUGGGCGUAAAGCGUCCGUAGGUGGCUCUUCAAGUCUGCUGUCAAAGAGUGGGGCUUAACCCUGCAAAGGCAGUGGAAACUGAACAGCUAGAGUAUGGUAGGGGCAGAGGGAAUUCCUGGUGUAGCGGUGAAAUGCGUAGAGAUCAGGAAGAACAUCGGUGGCGAAGGCGCUCUGCUGGACCAUAACUGACACUCAGGGACGAAAGCUAGGGGAGCGAAUGGG